AAUGAUUCUUCUAAACAAAUAAUUCACAUAAGUCAACCUAAAGCUAAUAAUUCACUCUUGUAAUUAAUGAUUAGAUGGACAAUGAUUUUCCUUCUCUACCACCCACCCCUCUCCUUUCCUUUUUCUUCCCUUCCCUUCUCUCCCCGCCGGCUGCCGCUCCCCUCAUCGCCUGCGCCGAGCUACCGCCGCUGCCAGCAGCACCUCUCCCCUCCUCCCGCUGCCGCGCACCGUCCUUCCCAUCCUCUUUCCCCUCUGCAGCACCAUCGCUUUAGGGAAGGGGGUUGCCGUCCCCUUUUCAGCCUCCUACCAAUGUCCAUUCGGCCAUCCGACGCCUGAUUUCAAUUUCCUCGCCCCGAAAACCCCCGGAACAAGUCUCCCCCGCCGAUUUCCUCCACCGGCAGCUUCAGAGGAGCUUCAUCGGAGCAACCUCUUUCCGACCCCGAUCCGGUGCCUUCUGGCGAGUUUCCGGCCGAAACUCUCGUGUUUUCGGACUCCCUGCAACUCAAGCUUUGCGUAGGCGCUUCCAGAUUCGAAUUCCGACACCGUUAGCAGGACCAGGUUCCGAACCCUGAUGUUUUUCUGACGCGUGUAAUAUUAAAAUUUCAGCUCGAUAUAAUUUUAUUUAGACCUUAAAAAUUAUG
rnacentral:lncRNA from 1 species